UCAGCUGGAAGAAGACCUCCUACUCGCUCAUGGUGGCCAAUCAGCACAGGAACAAACAUACUCAGAAGGGGAAGGAAAGCUUUGGGAAACUAUUGCGCCCCGAAAUAUAAUACUAAUAAGAAUAACAUUUUAAUAGCUCUGUGAAACUCUUCUAAAUUCUGGAAAGGAGUCAUGGGUGUUUCCAAAGCUGUUAUGUUUGGAUAUAGAUGGAAGGUAGGAGAUGGCAGUAAGAUGAGAUUUUGGAAAGUAACCCAACUUCUAUUCGUCACUCCAGUCGUUGAUGCCAUAACUGACACAUCUAUAUAUGCCAUCAUUGACAUUGCCGGAUUCGAGGCACCUAGGCCCUGGCGCCGACAUGUGUCAAGGGAUACUGACGUGAUCUGCCACCCCGAGCACUCUGCACCACCUAGCAGUAUGUCUUCCUCCACUUUGUGCUCGCAUCUCCCUCGCCUUCCGAAUGCCGGUGCAUCCUCAGCCGCCGGUCAGCUGGUUUCAACCCUCGUUCAAUAACUCGUCGACGAGCCUAUGUCGAUCACCAUGUCUGAUGACUGACACCGGCUGGUGUUGCUUUGACUCUUGGAGAUGUUACAACAUCCCGGAUGUGUUUUCUACAAGUUUGAAAUAGACAAAGUGAGUACAAUUUCGUGUGGUAGUUCUUCGGUUUAAAUGAAUGUGUGCUCAUUGUUUAUAUGUGUUGAUCUGUUUAUCAAAAGAGGUGUAUUUGAUAUUGGUGCACUAGUUGCUAGAGAUGUGAUUACGGAAGACGCAAUGUCCAAGUUUUAGAAGCAGAGAAUAAACAACUGUGCACGCUAGAGAAGUCGUCGGAGAAGAGCGACAAAUGUUGUCAAUAAACAUAAGGAGAUGGACAAAGUAUUGUUGGACCUGUUGGAGGAGACAAGGAAGUUGUGUUUCUAUUGAAGUGUGUAAUUUUUCUCGCCGUUUUGUUUGGAUCAGUUCCCCUAGUGGGGACUGCUGAAAUAUAUGCUCAAGAUAUUGUCUACUGAAUUAAUCGUGUAGCAAAGCUUAACUCAAUAGCCUAAAAAUUAAUGAAUUCGUGUUAAAAAAAAGUUGUUGAGGAGUUAUGUUUUAGGGGUUCGGCUAUGAACG
rnacentral:lncRNA from 1 species